rnacentral:lncRNA from 1 species
GCUUGAUGUGUCCUUCUUUUCCACAUUCAUAGCAAUAGACAGUGUCUGAUCUAAAGCUUUUCUUUGAUUUUCUUUGACCUGCAUAUUUAGUAAGUCGGCUGUCGUUUUGCAUAAAUCGAUUAAACAUCCUUAUCAUCAUGGUCAUCAAUUCCUUUUCGUCCAUCUCUGCAUCAGAGUCAUCAGACUUUGAGUUUUUCUUGCUUGUAGACUUUAGAGAAAUGGACUUCUUUC